AUGUACGAGGGCGCCGUGUUCAUACAUGUCCGUGCAUGGUGUGUAUGUGUUCUUGCGCUGAUUCAUCUCCCCGCUGAGCAUAGUUGCCUUGCAGUUUCUAUGCGCACUAAUUUUUGCAGUUUAUAUACACUGAAACAUGGCCUUGGUGCCGGCCCUUGGGCUACCGUACGUCGAAGCACCGGUUUCGCUCCCGUGCAGGAUGAUAGUCCAUUUUGCAUCAUGCUUUUAUAUCGAUAUUUAUUGCAUUAUGGGCUGUUAUUACACAUUAUAUCACAAUAUUUAUGCAUAUUCUUUCUUAUUUUAUAA
rnacentral:rRNA from 1 species